rnacentral:rRNA from 2 species
CCUGGUGAUCUAAGCGACUGGGUCACACCUGUUCCCAUUCCGAACACAGAAGUUAAGCCAGUCUGCGCCGAUGGUACUUUCGAGCUUAGCUCGACGGCAGAGUAGGCCAUCGCCAGGG